ACGCUGGCGGCAGGCCUAACACAUGCAAGUCGAGCGGCACAGGAAUUAGCUUGCUCUCGCCUGACGAGCGGCGGACGGGUGAGUAAUGUCUGGGAAACUGCCUGAUGGAGGGGGAUAACCACUGGAAACGGUGGCUAAUACCGCAUAACGUCGCAAGACCAAAGUGGGGGACCUUCGGGCCUCAUGCCAUCAGAUGUGCCCAGAUGGGAUUAGCUUGUAGGUGGGGUAACGGCUCACCUAGGCGACGAUCCCUAGCUGGUCUGAGAGGAUGACCAGCCACACUGGAACUGAGACACGGUCCAGACUCCUACGGGAGGCAGCAGUGGGGAAUAUUGCACAAUGGGCGCAAGCCUGAUGCAGCCAUGCCGCGUGUAUGAAGAAGGCCUUCGGGUUGUAAAGUACUUUCAGUGGGGAGGAAGGCGUGAUGUUUAAUACGCAUCGCGAUUGACGUUACCCACAGAAGAAGCACCGGCUAACUCCGUGCCAGCAGCCGCGGUAAUACGGAGGGUGCAAGCGUUAAUCGGAAUUACUGGGCGUAAAGCGCACGCAGGCGGUCUGUUAAGUCAGAUGUGAAAUCCCCGGGCUCAACCCGGGAACUGCAUUUGAAACUGGCAGGCUUGAGUCUCGUAGAGGGGGGUAGAAUUCCAGGUGUAGCGGUGAAAUGCGUAGAGAUCUGGAGGAAUACCGGUGGCGAAGGCGGCCCCCUGGACGAAGACUGACGCUCAGGUGCGAAAGCGUGGGGAGCAAACAGGAUUAGAUACCCUGGUAGUCCACGCCGUCAACGAUGUCGACUUGGAGGUUGUGCCCUUGAGGCGUUGCUUCCGGAGCUAACGCGUUAAGUCGACCGCCUGGGGAG
rnacentral:rRNA from 1 species